GGCUGGGUAGCUCAGUUGGCAGAGCAGAGGACUGAAAAUCCUCGUGUCGGCGGUUCGAUUCCGCCCCCAGCCA
rnacentral:tRNA from 1 species